rnacentral:tRNA from 1 species
GGGUGGGUGGCUCAGUGGUUAGAGCUUAGGCCUCGUAAUCGGAAGGUGCCGGGAUUGAAUCCCGCUAGAGGCA